GAAGCCCAGGUCACAUAGUGAGGCCACUUGUGGGUGUUCCAGCUGGCCCUUCGUCAACAGCCAGACUCGACAAUUAGACACGUGAAUGAAUAAGCCCUCAGGCGGUUCUAGCCUCCAGCCUUCAAGCAUUCCAGCUGAGGUCCCAGGCAUCCUGGAGCAGAGCGAAGCCAACACCACUGCGUCCUCUUGGAAUUCCUGGCCCACAGAAAAUGUGACGGGUCCAGGCAGCCACAGGGGAGAAGAAGGGCCCAGGUUGGAGUUAAGAUUGUCACACAAGCCCUGGCAGCUUUCCAGGAUUCCAGGGUGUUGCCAUUUGUCUUCCUUCCAAAUGUCAGAAGGUAAGCACCCUGAGGCCCAGCAGAUGAAAUGUGCCUAAAGUCAUCCAGCUAGUAAGCUGAAGUGUUGGAUUAGAAUUCUUCUGAUGUAGAUUGAUGUUUUUUUCCCACUAGUUUCUCAUUAUUUUUUUAUGUUGUAAAACUUUUUUCAAGUGAAUCUUUUCAGAACUCCAGUUCUAUAUAUGAAACAGAAUUGAGCACAGCUGCCGCAAUCAAGCUCAGACCCCCACCCUGCCCAGGCCUUCCUCUCUUCCCCUGCCCCUCCUCCAUACUGCAGCUCUGUGGCUCUCCCAGGAUUCAUGGAACCCAGUUUGAAAACUACCGCGGUACCCCACGCUGCCUCCUCCAUACAAUAUCACAAAUCUUCUCAAUUUACCACGUUUCCCCACACUGAUGUAAAAUAUUAGAAACCUUUUGUGAAGUAGGAAAGCCAAUGGGGUCAGCAGAGGAUAAGGUAAGAUGGCCUGGAGGAUAGAUAAUUAGGAUUUCAGAGGAGGAAAGGUCAGUGCAGUUGAUCCGACUCUGUCCUGGGGAGAUGAUAAAGAAGACUUCAACAGAUACAGCAGAAUCAUCCAGAAACCAGAUAUGUCCCAAGCCUGGUCUGGGAACCAUUUUAUAAGUCAGCAAAUAUCCAAAAUAUAUGCAUGGCUCCAUUCCGAGGUGGAUUGAAAUUUCAACAAAGCUACUUCAGUGAUGACCAGGAGCAGAAAAUUCUAUGGGCUUAGGGAUGCUUGCCUCAGAAACCAGGCUGUGUGAAUACUGAAUGGCCAAGGACAGCGCUUUUCCAGGUGUGGUCCUGGACCUUCCUGGAUCUCAAUCACCUGGGUGUUUGUGAAUGUGCAGAUUCCAGGAUCCCAGCUGGACCUGCUGAAUCAGUGUCAAGGUCCCCAAAUGUUCAUUCAAGUUUGAGAUUAUUAGCACCUGAGCUUUGGAAUCAGCCAGAUGAACGUUUGAGUCCUGAGUUGGCCAACUCCAAAUGUGGCCAAGUCAUUUUAUUUGCUAUAGCUUUGGCUUUCUCAUCUGUAAAAUGGACAUAAUAACUACUUUACAGGGUUGUUUUGAGGAAUCAAAGUCAGCAUUUAACACUUAUUCUCCCUGGGGAGAGACAAAGAGGAGAUGAAAGAGAGUGUAAUUGAGCAAAGCAGUUUCUAAAACCUCCCCGUGAAGUCUUUCCUAUCUUGACAAAUAAUAAAAUAAGAAACCCAUACAGUUUCUUAGUGCUUAUUUGGAGUUAAGCACGUUAAAAUAAUUCUUGAAGGUUUUAUAGGCACCAAGGAUGACAUCCAAGUACUGGAGAUACAAGUCCAUUUAGGGUAAGCCUUUGGCUGGAAGGCAGAAGAAAGGCGCUAACGGACAUAACCCCAGGAAAGGGUGGUUUGCUGUUUUAUGGAUGUGGUCAUACUCUGAGUCAAAUCACGUACCCAGUCAGGACAGCUCCCAAAAAGCUGAGAAAUCAGCUGUGAUUCUUGUUCCCUGUAAGACUACUGGCUGAGAUUUUAAGGUUUCUCUACAAUGAUAAUAGCUCUCUCUCCUGAGCACUGACUGUAUGCCAGGCAUCGAGCCAAGUACUUUACAUACAAUAUACUGUUCAAUCCCCACAAAUAUCCCUAAGUGACAGAUAAUAUCAUUAAUUCCAUUUUACCAAUGACAAAACGAAUUCCAUGAUUAUGAUUCUGAGUAGUAUCUGUAAGGAUCACAAAGAGCAAAGGCAAACAAGG